rnacentral:lncRNA from 1 species
AACAAUGUGAUCCUGAGAAAGGGACAAAAGCCUCCUCCCCAUUUCUAACCUUGCUGCUUGGAGACCUCAGGGUGGGUACUUUGGGAGCAUCAGGCAACUCUCGCUGAGUACCCUUGGAGUAGUCUCGCUGAUUCAAGCCACAGUAGCCGGGCAGCAGUGGCCCCUAGGGUGGUCACAGGGACCAAGAGGACCAGAGAGGGAAAGCAGAAUGUGGCAGAUUUGGCAUUGUCUUUAGCCAAUAGAAUUUAUCAGGGCAAUUUUCAACACAUCCAGAUAAUCGAAGAACUAUGACUC